GAUGAACGCUGGCGGCGUGCCUAAUACAUGCAAGUCGAGCGAACGGACGAGAAGCUUGCUUCUCUGAUGUUAGCGGCGGACGGGUGAGUAACACGUGGAUAACCUACCUAUAAGACUGGGAUAACUUCGGGAAACCGGAGCUAAUACCGGAUAAUAUUUUGAACCGCAUGGUUCAAAAGUGAAAGACGGUCUUGCUGUCACUUAUAGAUGGAUCCCCGCUGCAUUAGCUAGUUGGUAAGGUAACGGCUUACCAAGGCAACGAUGCAUAGCCGACCUGAGAGGGUGAUCGGCCACACGGGAACUGAGACACGGUCCAGACUCCUACGGGAGGCAGCAGUAGGGAAUCUUCCGCAAUGGGCGAAAGCCUGACGGAGCAACGCCGCGUGAGUGAUGAAGGUCUUCGGAUCGUAAAACUCUGUUAUUAGGGAAGAACAUAUGUGUAAGUAACUGUGCACAUCUUGACGGUACCUAAUCAGAAAGCCACGGCUAACUACGUG
rnacentral:rRNA from 1 species